rnacentral:misc_RNA from 1 species
GGAAGGAUCAUUAACACAUAAGUCCAUUUGAUGGUAAUAGAGGUUCAUUUUGAGAGGGAGUAAAAUCCCUUGAGAAGCCUUUAUUAUCAUUCAAACAACAAAGUAAAUUCGUUGAAGUCCUCAACCCAUAAAUAAUUAAAACCUAUUGUGAGUUAGAGAGUGUAUUUCAAAGAGUGAAAUCAAGUUCAAUCUGUUUGUAAAAGAAUAGAUUCGACUGAUGUUUACAAAAAACAAUAAAUAUAAACCAAGACAACUUGUAACAGUGGAUACCUUGGUUCCCAGGUCGAUGAAGAGCGCAGCGAACUGCGAUAAGUCAUGUGAAUUGCAGAAUUCCGUGAAUCAUCGAACUCUUGAACGCAAAUUGCACUUAGGUGUUAAACUUAAGUGUGCCUGCUCGAGUGUCGGCAAUAAAUACUCACUUCUAAAGUGAUAAUGAAGGUUUACAUUUAUGUGUAAUCCUUUUAAAGAGAUGGUGAUAAUUGAUUUAUAAACACACAUUUUAGCUUUACAAAAGCUUUUUGAGUGUUGGAAUCAUUUAAAGCAAACAUUACAAUUAAGUGUUUUAUUACACUUGUAUUGUGUGUUUGUGAUUUCAAUAUACUUGAAUAGUUUUAAAAGUUUGAAAGUGAAAUCAAAUAAACCUUGUUUUAGUGUACCUGUACACGACAACAAUUCAAUCAAAAUCUCGACCUCGAAUUAGGCAAGAUCACCCGGUGGACUUAAGCAUAUUAUUAACCGGAGGAAAAGAAACUAACAAGGAUGCCCUUAGUAACGGCGAGUGAAGCGGGCAGAGCUCAAAUUUAAAAUCUGAGAGCUUUAUAGUUCUCCGAAUUGUAGUUUUUGGAUCGUUAGUCACGGGAGUGCAAGUUGUGGGAGUAAGUUCUUUGGAACAAGGCGUCAAAGAGGGUGAGAACCCCGUAUGCGUCCCCGCUUGUAUUUCAAUAGGUGUCUAGCUUUUCACGAGUCGGGUUGUUUGGGAUUGCAGCCCUAAAUAGGUGGUAGAUCUCAUCUAAAGCUAAAUAUUCCUGGGAGACCGAUAGCGAAGAAGUAGUGUGAACGAAAGGUGAAAAGAACUUUGAAAAGAAGGUGAAAAGUACUUGAAGCUGUUCCAAGGGAACCGCAUGGAGCCAGUGACAGCUUGUGAGCAAUUCAGCGUACGGUCAGUUUGUAGUGUUGGACACACGGAGGUGUAUGCCCCGGAGUGCUGAGCUAUUGAUUGAGUGUGCGUGUACUUUGUUUAUGAGCGAGUCAACAUCAGUUUGCUGGCAACGGAGAAAGGUAGGAGGAAGAUAGGUCGGUCUUUCGGGAUCUUCUGUUAUAGCCUCUUAUUGCAUACGUUGUCGUAGACUGAGGAAAGAAAACGCAUGCCUCGGCGAGGUAGUUGGCGGACCCGUUGUUGUGAGUGAGUACGUCUGCUUGCAGGGUGCUUGCUCGAUAGCUGCGGCAUAAGUUGACCCAUCGGUGCGUUAGGGAUGUUGACGAAAUGGUUUCAUUCGACCCGUCUUGAAACACGGACCAAGGAGUCUAACAUGUAUGCGAGUGUUUGGGUGGAAAACCCGAGCGCGCAACGAAAGUGAGAGAUGCGAGUCUGUUAAAAAGGAUGCAGCAUCGACCGACUGCUUUUAGGAGCGGAUCGCGUCGGAGCACACAUGAUGGGACCCGAAAGAUGGUGAACUUUGCGUGCGCAGGGUGAAGCCAGAGGAAACUCUGGUGGAGGCUCGUAGAGAUACUGACGUGCAAAUCGUUCUUCUGACGUGCGUAAAGGGGCGAAAGACUAAUCGAACCAUCUAGUAGCUGGUUUACAC